GGUGAACGCUGGCGGCGUGCCUAAUACAUGCAAGUCGAGCGAAUGGAUUAAGAGCUUGCUCUUAUGAAGUUAGCGGCGGACGGGUGAGUAACACGUGGGUAACCUGCCCAUAAGACUGGGACAACUCCGGGAAACCGGGGCUAAUACCAGAUAACAUUUUGAACCGCAUGGUUCGAAAUUGAAAGGCGGCUUCGGCUGUCACUUAUGGAUGGACCCGCGUCGCAUUAGCUAGUUGGUGAGGUAACGGCUCACCAAGGCAACGAUGCGUAGCCGACCUGAGAGGGUGAUCGGCCACACUGGGACUGAGACACGGCCCAGACUCCUACGGGAGGCAGCAGUAGGGAAUCUUCCGCAAUGGACGAAAGUCUGACGGAGCAACGCCGCGUGAGUGAUGAAGGCUUUCGGGUCGUAAAACUCUGUUGUUAGGGAAGAUCAAGUGCUAGUUGAAUAAGCUGGCACCUUGACGGUACCUAACCAGAAAGCCACGGCUAACUACGUGCCAGCCGCCGCCGUAA
rnacentral:rRNA from 1 species